UACAGGGGGUGCUAGCGUUGUUCGGAAUUACUGGGCGUAAAGGGUGCGUAGGCGGAUAUGUAAGUCCGUGGUGAAAUCUCUGGGCUUAACCCGGAAACUGCCAUGGAUACUAUGUGUCUUGAAUGUUGUUGAGGUGAGCGGAAUUCACGGUGUAGCAGUGAAAUGCGUAGAUAUCGUGAGGAAGACCAGUGGCGAAGGCGGAUCUCUGGACAGCUCCUGACGCUGAGGCGCGAAGGCUAGGGGAGCGAACGGG
rnacentral:rRNA from 1 species